UAUAGGUUAGGGAGGGCAGGUAUAAGUUAGGGAGGGCAGAUAUAGGUUAGGGAGAGCAUCCAUCGGUGAGCUCUGACUGGAUGUGAGGACCUGUCACACUUGACCAGAGAGGAAGGCUGCAGCACAUUCCUGGAUUAGAGGACUCCAUGUUGGACACAACAACCUGAAGAAAUCCCGUCCUGGAUGGCUGCAGUCAUGGCCUAGCCCAAGAUGAACCGACCUCUUCCACGGGAUGUCUACAGAUGUUGGACUUUGCCGAACUG